rnacentral:tRNA from 1 species
GCUAGCGAUAAUUUAAAGGGGUAAAAAAAUUUAAUUUCAUACAUUAAAAAUGAGAAUUCGAAUUUCUCUCCUGGCG